rnacentral:rRNA from 1 species
GGUAGGCUUACACAUGCAAGUCGUGCGAGAAAGUACCUUCGGGUGCGAGUAGAGCGGCGGACGGGUGAGUAACGCGUAGGAAUCUACCUAGUAGAAGGGGAUAGCCCGGGGAAACUCGGAUUAAUACCGUAUACCUCCUUAGGGAGAAAGAGGGCUUAGCUUUGAUGCUCUCGCUAUUAGAUGAGCCUGCGUAAGAUUAGCUUGUUGGUGAGGUAAUGGCUCACCAAGGCGACGAUCUUUAGCUGGUCUGAGAGGACGAUCAGCCACAUUGGGACUGAGACACGGCCCAGACUCCUACGGGAGGCAGCAGUGGGGAAUAUUGGACAAUGGGCGCAAGCCUGAUCCAGCCAUACCGCGUGUGUGAAGAAGGCUUUCGGGUUGUAAAGCACUUUAAGUAAGGAGGAAAAGAUUGUAGUUAAUACCUGCAAUCCGUGACGUUACUUACAGAAUAAGGACCGGCUAAUUCCGUGCC